GGUGAGUAACACGUGGGCAACCUGCCUGUAAGAUUGGGAUAACUUCGGGAAACCGGAGCUAAUACCGGAUAAUUUAUGAACUCGCANGAGUUCAUAAUAAAAGAUGGCUUCGGCUAUCANUUACAGAUGGGCCCGCGGCGCANUAGCUAGUUGGUGAGGUAAUGGCUUACCAAGGCGACNAUGCGUAGCCNACCUGAGAGGGUGAUCGGCCACACUGGGACUGAGACACGGCCCAGACUCCUACGGGAGGCAGCAGUAGGGAAUCUUCCGCAAUGGACGAAAGUCUGACGGAGCAACGCCGCGUGAGCGAUGAAGGCCUUCGGGUCNUAAAGCUCUGUUGUUAGGGAAGAACAAGUAUCGUUCNAAUAGGGCGGUACCUUGACGGUACCUAACCAGAANGCCACGGCUAACUACGUGCCAGCAGCCGCGGUAAUACGUAGGUGGCAAGCGUUGUCCGGAAUUAUUGGGCGUAAAGCGCGCGCAGGCGGUCUUUUAAGUCUGAUGUGAAAGCCCACGGCUCAACCGUGGAGGGUCAUUGGAAACUGGAGGACUUGAGUGCAGAAGAGGAGAGCGGAAUUCCACGUGUAGCGGUGAAAUGCGUAGAGAUGUGGAGGAACACCAGUGGCGAAGGCGGCUCUCUGGUCUGUAACUGACGCUGAGGCGCGAAAGCGUGGGGAGCGAACAGGAUUAGAUACCCUGGUAGUCCACGCCGUAAACGAUGAGUGCUAAGUGUCAGGGGGUUUCCGCCCCUUGGUGCUGAAGUUAACGCAUUAAGCACUCCGCCUGGGGAGUACGACCGCAAGGUUGAAACUCAAAGGAAUUGACGGGGGCCCGCACNGCGGUGGAGCAUGUGGUUUAAUUCGAAGCAACGCGAAGAACCUUACCAGGUCUUGACAUCCUCUGACAAUCCUGGAGACAGGACGUUCCCUUCGGGGACAGAGUGACAGGUGGUGCAUGGUUGUCGUCAGCUCGUGUCGUGAGAUGUUGGGUUAAGUCCCGCAACGAGCGCAACCCUUGUCCUUAGUUGCCAGCAUUCAGUUGGGCACUCUAAGGAGACUGCCGGUGACAAACCGGAGGAAGGUGGGGAUGACGUCAAAUCAUCAUGCCCCUUAUGACCUGGGCUACACACGUGCUACAAUGGAUGGUACAAAGGGCAGCAAGACCGCGAGGUUUAGCAAAUCCCAUAAAGCCAUUCUCAGUUCGGAUUGUAGGCUGCAACUCGCCUGCAUGAAGCCGGAAUCGCUAGUAAUCGCGGAUCAGCAUGCCGCGGUGAAUACGUUCCCGGGCCUUGUACACACCGCCCGUCACACCACGAGAGUUUGUAACACCCGAAGUCGGUGGGGUA
rnacentral:rRNA from 1 species